GACGUGGGGGGCCAGCGUUGCUCGGAAUUACUGGGUGUAAAGGGUUCGUAGGCGGUGUGGCAAGUCGGGAGUGAAAUCUCUGGGCUUAACUCAGAGACUGCUUCCGAAACUGCUGUGCUUGAGUGUGGGAGAGGCGCGUGGAAUUGCAGGUGUAGCGGUGAAAUGCGUAGAUAUCGGAAGGAACACCAGUGGCGAAAGCGGCUUCCUGGUCCAGCACCGACGUUCAGGCACGAAAGCGUGGGGAGCAAACAGG
rnacentral:rRNA from 1 species